AAAGCGAGGACUGUGAGUCACAUCUUGCUGUGUUCCUAUCUAGUUUGCGCUCUUCAUUAUCAGCAUGCUCUUGCUGGGCAUCAAUUCUUACAGUGUGUCUAACAUUCUCUUGGUGGCUGCUAUCAUACCUUGUCUGCAUAGAAGAUUCAUUUCUUGCUCCAUGAUUGUAAUGCAUCUCACUUUCUCGAAAACUCGAGGGGCCAGGACGGUCAUUACCAGAUCUGUGAGGAUUUCUAAGCAUUGAAUUCAUAGAUGGAGGGGGUAGAACACGAGGCUGCCUCAUGGAAUACCGUGACCUUGCAAAAGAAUAGAGCCCAUCUGCCUCUGGAUUUUGAUACAUCCGUUCAUGGUAUGGAGGAUACAGAUUGCAACGAGCACGACCAUGUCCCCAUCCAGAAUCGCCAAACCUCUCACUA
rnacentral:misc_RNA from 1 species